AAGAUCUAGUGUAGAUACAACCUGUAUCUCUAGUAUAAGUCUAGAGCAAGAAGAAGAAGAUGAGGAGGAAAAGGAGAUAAUUAAAGAGCCGAGUAAACAAGAGGUUCGGCAAAUGCUCGGGAAUAUGGACGAGGUUAGGGAUUAUCAUACCAGGGUUAUGCUGCCAAAACUUGAAGAAGCCGUUCUUAAUGGAGACUCACAAGCUAUCAGGUAACUUUAGUUUGAAAUACCAUUAAAGGGACUGUUCAACUAUCUGAACAUAUUAAAGAGACUGUUCAACUAUCUGAACAUGCUAAAGAGACUGUUCAACUAUCUGAACAUAUUAAAGAGACUGUUCAACUAUCUGAACAUGCAAAAGAGACUGUUAAACUAUCUGAACAUAUUAAAGAGACUGUUCAACUAUCUGAGCAAAAACAAUUUACAAAAUUUAAAAACAUAAUUAAAAUGACCUUACUCCUGAAAAAUGUCUCUGACAGGCGAUUUUCCCAACUUAAAGAUAAGAAACUAUAUUUUCUUCUAGAUGCUGGCAAAACUCUAACGGAUAUUUUGUUAUAAAAUUGUAUCAUUCUGGUAUUUAGCCAUAUUUUUGAGCCUAGGAAAUGUUAUAUUCACGUGCUUUAUAUCGAGUACUUUUAUAUAGUUACACUCUGUUCAUGCAUAGCAUAUGUUGGAUAUAUUUGUAUGCUUUAUACUGAGUACUUUUAAAUAGUUACAUUGCACUUCGGACAAACCCAGCAAAUGUUAGAUCCACGUGCUUUUUAUCGAGUACUUGUAUCCAAUUACACAUACACUCCAUAUAAACCUAGAAAAUGUUAGAUCUUCAUGCUUUAUAUCAAGUACUUUAAAAUAGUUACACACCGUACAAACCCAUCAAAUGUUUGAUCUGCAUGCUUUAUAUCGACAGUUACAUUCUUGACAAACCUGCAAUAUGUUAGAUCUGCGAGUUUUAUAUCGAGUACUUUUAAAUAGUUACAUUCCGUACAAACCUAGCAAUUGUUAGAUCCACGUACUGUAUAUCGCGAACCUUUUUUGCAGUUAGUUAGAUGAACACAGAUCUCAGUAAUGACUGUAAGCAAAUAAUAAUAUGCAUAGGAUAAGGAUGAAUAUGGUGAAGGGUUGGAAUAUAUUAGGGUUUAUGAAAGAGUAAAGAUGAUAAAUGUUGAAGCAAAUAAAUCAUAUAUGGAGGUUUAACACUCAUUUUCAAACCUUAAAAGGGUUGCAGAGAUUCCUUAAUAAAAAUUUGUUGCUGAAAGGAGACAAAAUAGCUUUUUGUAAACGAUAUUAAGAACAAUUCAGGGAUUACUGAUAAUUCUACAGUAAAUUGUAGAAUCCAUAAAACUAUGCUAUAGAAAGACGACUUUUAGACUCAUAUGAUUUCAAAUAAUCUAAUAAAAUUUUACCACAGAAAUGGUGCAGUGCACACAGGCCCAUUUAAUUUCAUAGGUUGA